CUCAUGAUAAAUUUAAGACGGUUCAACUCAAACAAAAAAAAAAAAAAUCUUAUAAUAAUUCAAACUGGAAAACUAAAAAACUAUAGAAUCAUGGUGAUAUAUAUGGUUGAAAGAGAGCGAGAUAAGAUAACUAUAGAAUCAAAAUGAUACUGCAAAACACUAGUAAAAUAUGUUGAAGUUACUUCAAUUAAAAAACUAACAUCCAAACUGAGAUGACCUAAACAAAUAUUCCUAAUAUCGUGACAACAGGAUGAAUCAAGAAUCAGAUAAAUAAUCAGGUACGAGCUGAUUGACUAGGGUUUUUUAACUUUCAUAAAGAAGACGAUCUUUGGCACCAGUUCGAUGGACUUCAUUGUGCUUGCAGAAAUAUUUAAGAUGCUCAAGUGUGCAGUAACCAAGCAUUUGACCAAGCAAUAAGAACAACCAAUUAAUCUCUUUUUUCUUUCGCGCAAUUACAGGUCUGGUGCUGCUUUCUCGUUCGCAAAGGAGACAUUUUGGACACACUGGAUUCAUCCAAAACCGUGGAGCUCUUUUAUGCCACUUACUCUUUUCUUUACUAAAGAGUUCGCAUAAGCCAUCAAGUUUCUCUUCUAGAUUCAGAUCCAAUUCGAACUCAUGCUCGCACCUCUUGCAGUAAACCUUUCCUUUGAUGGUGACCACAUUCUUCUCCAAUAGAUAUUGCUGGCUAUGGACGGUGGCGCGUUGAUUCUUCGCCCAAGGAAACGGUGCAGUGAUCGUUUUGCUCAUUCCUUUGUCCCGCGAACUGCGACAAGAACUACCCAUAGGGCGUCUACCCGUGGAUACACUUUUGAGUGCUUUAGCAGGCGCAUUUGAAGGGUUGGUGCUGUGGUCUGAGAAAGCUUGAGACACUGACGAAGGAUUAGGGUUAAGGUUAGAAGAAUAUUGUUGUAUUUCCAUGAGAGAUAGGUUUGUUUGAAAAGGGUUUACGAGAGGAAGGAAAGAUGUGGGAGUUUCCUUUGAACUCCCACAUCGGAGGGAGAGGGUGAGAUCUAGUUCAUUUUCUAAUUCCAUUGAUUGUAAAUAGAGGUCAGAUAGGAUCUGGUAAAAGAUGAAAAUGUGUAAGGAUGAUAAAGAUAUAUGCUUCUACUGUAGCUUUCUUUAAUGAAUGUUGGGGUUGUUCAAACAUUGGAAGUUCCGUGUUCGAAAUCUGUCAUAGAA
rnacentral:lncRNA from 1 species